rnacentral:rRNA from 1 species
UACGAAGGGGGCUAGCGUUGCUCGGAAUUACUGGGCGUCAAGGGCGCGUAGGCGGCCCUGUUAGUCAGGCGUGAAAGUCCUGGGCUCAACCUGGGAACUGCGCUUGAUACGGCAGAGCUAGAGGAUGGAAGAGGCUCGCGGAAUUCCCAGUGUAGAGGUGAAAUUCGUAGAUAUUGGGAAGAACACCGGUGGCGAAGGCGGCGAGCUGGUCCAUUACUGACGCUGAGGCGCGACAGCGUGGGGAGCAAACAGG